GAAGCUUCUCUGUAAGUGACUAGAAUCUUC
rnacentral:piRNA from 1 species